GACGAACGCUGGCGGCGUGCUUAACACAUGCAAGUCGAACGGAGUGGCGAACGGGUGAGUAACACGUGGGUGACCUGCCCUGCACUUCGGGAUAAGCCUGGGAAACUGGGUCUAAUACCGGAUAGUGUGGGAUGGGCCCGCGGCCUAUCGGCCUGUUGGUGGGGUAAUGGCCUACCAAGGCGGCGACGGGUAGGCGGCCUGAGUGGGUGGACAGCGACAUUGGGACUGAGACACGGCCCAGACUCCGACGGGAGGCAGAGGGGGGGAAUAUUGCACAAGGGGCGGAAGCCUGAUGCAGCGACGCCGCGUGGGGGAUGACGGCCUUCGGGUUGUAAACUCCUUUCACCAUCGACGCGGUAGAUGGAGAAGAAGCACCGGCUAACUACGUGCCAGCCGCCGCGGUAAUUC
rnacentral:rRNA from 1 species